rnacentral:tRNA from 1 species
GCCGCGAUGGUGAAAUUGGUAGACACGCUGGUCUUAGGAACCAGUGCUCUAGGGCGUGGGGGUUCGACUCCCUCUC